GACGAACGCUGGCGGCGUGCUUAACACAUGCAAGUCGAACGGAAAGGCCCUGCUUGCAGGGUACUCGAGUGGCGAACGGGUGAGUAACACGUGGGUGAUCUGCCCUGCACUUCGGGAUAAGCCUUGGAAACUGGGUCUAAUACCGGAUAGGAGCCAUUUUUAGUGUGAUGGUUGGAAAGUUUUUUCGGUGUAGGGUGAGCUCGCGGCCUAUCAGCUUGUUGGUGGGGUAAUGGCCUACCAAGGCGGCGACGGGUAGCCGGCCUGAGAGGGUGGACGGCCACAUUGGGACUGAGAUACGGCCCAGACUCCUACGGGAGGCAGCAGUGGGGAAUAUUGCACAAUGGGCGCAAGCCUGAUGCAGCGACGCCGCGUGGGGGAUGACGGCCUUCGGGUUGUAAACUCCUUUCGCUAGGGACGAAGCUUUUUGUGACGGUACCUAGAUAAGAAACACCGGCUAACUACGU
rnacentral:rRNA from 1 species